rnacentral:rRNA from 1 species
UACGAAGGGGGCUAGCGUUGUUCGGAAUUACUGGGCGUAAAGCGCACGUACGCGGGUCGUUAAGUCAGGGGUGAAAUCCCAGAGCUCAACUCUGGAACUGCCUUUGAUACUGGCGACCUAGAGUCCGGAAGAGGUUAGUGGAAUUCCCAGUGUAGAGGUGAAAUUCGUAGAUAUUGGGAAGAACACCAGUGGCGAAGGCGGCUAACUGGUCCGGUACUGACGCUGAGGUGCGAAAGCGUGGGGAGCAAACAGG